rnacentral:rRNA from 1 species
UUUCGAAUCAUUCACAAUGGGCGAAAGCCUGAUGGUGCGACGCCGCGUGAGGGAUGAAGGCCUUCGGGUUGUAAACCUCUGUCACCGGGGAAGAAACGCUUCAAGUUAACAGCUUGAAGCCUGACUUAACCCGGAGAGGAAGCAGUGGCUAACUCUGUGCCAGCAGCCGCGGUAAUACAGAGACUGCAAGCGUUAUUCGGAUUCACUGGGCGUAAAGGGUGCGCAGGCGGCCGGGUGUGUCAGAUGUGAAAUCCCGAGGCUUAACCUCGGAACUGCGUCUGAAACUACUCGGCUAGAGUAUUGGAGAGGGUAACGGAAUUCACGGUGUAGCGGUGAAAUGCGUAGAUAUCGGAAGGAAUACCGGUGGCGAAGGCGUCUUCCUGGACUCUAACUGACACUGAGGCGCGAAAGCAUGGGGAUCAAACAGGAUUAGAUACCCCUGUAGUCCCUGAGCGGGCUGGCAAGGCGCAU